CACUGCUCUGACGGAUGCUUUUAUUAGACCAAGCCGCUGAGGACUUGAGGGUUCGCUCUCUUGUUCGACUCGUGUAAUGGUGACUCUGGAUAACCAAAUUUCUGACAAGCGCACGUACUUCUCUUCUGAGCGAGACGGCGCUGCCACUUUCGAGUGUCUGCCUUAUCAGCUAUCAACCGUUCGUUAUGCGCGACCGAUGGCUUUGACGGGUAACGGGGAAUCAGGGUUCGAUUCCGGAGAGGCAGCCUGAGAGACGGCUACCACGUCCAAGGACGGCAGCAGGCACGCAAAUUACCCAAUCCCAGCAAAUGGGGGAGGUAGUGACGAAAUCUAACGAUGCGGGCGCCCUUUCUGGGGCCCCGCAAUCGGAAUGGGCACUUUCUAAACAACCUGUUGAGAACCUACUGAAGGGCAAGUCUGGUGCCAGCAGCCGCGGUAAUUCCAGCUUCAGCAGCAUCUAUUAAAGUUGCUGCGGUUAAAAGGCUCGCAGUUGAAUGUCUGUAUCGAGCGCAGGUCAGGUGGACGUUGGGGCGUGGAAGUACGGGCAGUUGGAUGUCCGGAGGGCCUUCGUGCUCAACGGCUCCUUCGGCUUUUCCACACACCCCCGUCCGUGACAAGCCUCCUCGCUCGGGUACAUAACGGGAAUCGGUCAAACGGAGUGUGGUCGGGAGUUGCGGUGCGUGGCCUCGGUUGCGUGUUGCUUCUCUCGGCUGCGUUAAGCUCCAUCGGUUUCACGGUCACCUUGAGUAAAUCAGAGUGCUCAAAGCAGUCGUAGGGGCCUUGCGCCCUGUGAACAGUCUUGACGGACUGACUUGGUUUUGCAUGGCAUGUCGGAAGACGACGUCGUGUGCUGGCUCAGAGGAUAAAUCAGUGGUACAAGCCAGCCUCGACGUAAUGAUUAAAAGGGACGGUCGAGGGCAUUGGUAUUGCGAGGCGAGAGGUGAAAUUCUGUGACCCCCGCAAGACCUCCUGAAGCGAAAGCGUCUGCCAAGGACGUUUUCAUUAAUCAUGAACGAAAGUUAGAGGAUCGAAGGCGAUCAGAUACCGCCCUAGUUCUAACCCUAAACGAUGCCAACCAUCAAUCCGCGCGUAGCACCCUUCUUAACGGGCUCGGCGGGCAGCUCCCCACUCACGGGAAACCAGAGCCUCUGGGUUCCGGGGGGAGUCUGGUUGCAAAGCUGAAACUUAAAGGAAUUGACGGAAAGGCACCACCAGGCGUGGAGCCUGCGGCUUAAUUUGACUCAACACGGGCCAUCUCACCAGGCCAGCACUCUUGUACGAUUGACAGAUGAGAGC
rnacentral:rRNA from 1 species